UACGAAGGGUGCAAACGUUGCUCGGAAUUAUUGGGCGUAAAGCGCACGUAGGCGGCUUUGCAAGUCGGAUGUGAAAUCCCUCGGCUCAGCCAAGGAAGUGCAUCCGAAACUGCAGAGCUUGAGUACCAAAGAGGAUCGCGGAAUUCCCGGUGUAGAGGUGAAAUUCGUAGAUAUCGGGAGGAACACCAGUGGCGAAGGCGGCGAUCUGGGUGGAUACUGACGCUGAGGUGCGAAAGCGUGGGGAGCAAACAGG
rnacentral:rRNA from 1 species